CUGCGGGGGAGAAGAAGAAGAAACAGAGAAAAGGAGAGGGUGAGUAAGGGAGAAAGAGAGAGAGACGAGUGAGAGAGAGAACAACGAGAGAGAGAGAGAACUAUCGAGAUAGGAAGUCAUCUGAUAAGAAAGAGUUUAAUCUUACAGUUUUUGCUGGUUAUUGACAAAGUUUGGGAGUCGAGGAUACUGAGACUAUACACCCGGAAGGCUCGACUCGUUGAGUUAUCAUUUUGGGGGUCUUUGCAUGGGACCGUUGAUCCGACCGUACAUAAAUCAGGCGCCUAGGCCGUUGAUCCAACGAGAUACAAAAAGGGUCGCUUAGACUGCUGAUUCGGCGGGAUACAAAAAGGGACGCCUAGACUACUGAUCCGGCGGGAUAUAAAAAGGGAGGCCUAGACUGCUGAUUCGACGAAAUAUAAAAAGGGACACCUAGACCGCUUAUCCGACGGGAUAUAAAAUGGACGCCUAAACUCUUACUGCCAGAGAUAAUGGGCAGCCCUCGCUUAAGAUAAAUGAUAUGAGGAAUUUGUGGAUAUGAGUGCGGGAUCACGAUGAGCUAGGAGCUAGACUAGCCACACAUGAUAACUUUUUGGACAACGGGGAUCAGCGCGGAGGAUUUUUGCAGUUAGGCCCACUCAUAAUAUAAAUAGUAAGUUCUUGUAGAAUGCUAUAAUUAUAUUACGACUUGAAACUUUUGUUUGGUUAGUUUAGAGAUGUGGUUGAAAAGAAAAUAUUAUGUUGAGAUGUAUAUAUAGUUAUUAGAACCUGCUGAUUGGUCAUAUGUUUUUGGAAGAUGUGGGAAGUAUGUUUUAUAUAAAUAGUUUAUGUGAUAUUGGAUAUUGAGGAAA